UACGAAGGGGGCUAGCGUUGCUCGGAAUGACUGGGCGUAAAGAGCUCGUAGGCGGUCUGUCGCGUCUGCUGUGAAAUCCCGGGGCUCAACCUCGGGCCUGCAGUGGGUACGGGCAGACUAGAGUGCGGUAGGGGAGAUUGGAAUUCCUGGUGUAGCGGUGGAAUGCGCAGAUAUCAGGAGGAACACCGAUGGCGAAGGCAGAUCUCUGGGCCGUAACUGACGCUGAGGAGCGAAAGCGUGGGGAGCGAACAGG
rnacentral:rRNA from 1 species